GACGAACGCUGGCGGCGUGCUUAACACAUGCAAGUCGAACGGUAAGGCCCCAGCUUGCUGGGGUACACGAGUGGCGAACGGGGGAGUAACACGUGGGGGACCUGCCCCGCACUUCGGGAUAAGCCUGGGAAACUGGGGCUAAUACCGGAUAGGACCGCACCGUGAGGGUGUGGUGGAAAGUUUUGCGGUGUGGGAUGGGCCCGCGGCCUAUCAGCUUGUUGGUGGGGUAAUGGCCUACCAAGGCGGCGACGGGUAGCCGGCCUGAGAGGGUGGACGGCCACAUUGGGACUGAGACACGGCCCAGACUCCUACGGGAGGCAGCAGUGGGGAACAUUGCACAAUGGGCGGAAGCCUGAUGCAGCGACGCCGCGUGGGGGAUGACGGCCUUCGGGUUGUAAACUCCUUUCACCAUCGACGAAGGUUUUCUGACGGUAGAUGGAGAAGAAGCACCGGCUAACUACGUG
rnacentral:rRNA from 1 species